rnacentral:sRNA from 21 species
CCCACCUCUUACGAGGUGGGCUAUUGCAUUUCGUCGCUUCGCGACU